rnacentral:rRNA from 1 species
UACGUAGGGUGCAAGCGUUAAUCGGAAUUACUGGGCGUAAAGCGUGCGCAGGCGGUUUCGUAAGUCUGUCGUGAAAUCCCCGGGCUUAACCUGGGAAUGGCGAUGGAGACUGCGAGGCUAGAGUUUGGCAGAGGGGGGUAGAAUUCCACGUGUAGCAGUGAAAUGCGUAGAGAUGUGGAGGAACACCGAUGGCGAAGGCAGCCCCCUGGGCCAAAACUGACGCUCAUGCACGAAAGCGUGGGGAGCAAACAGG